rnacentral:rRNA from 1 species
UACAGAGGUCUCAAGCGUUGUUCGGAUUCAUUGGGCGUAAAGGGCGCGUAGGCGGCCUGAUAAGUAGGGGGUGAAAUCCUGCGGCUUAACCGCAGGGCUGCCUUCUAAACUGUCAGGCUCGAGCACAGUAGAGGCAGGUGGAAUUCCCGGUGUAGCGGUGGAAUGCGUAGAGAUCGGGAAGAACAUCAGUGGCGAAGGCGGCCUGCUGGGCUGUUGCUGACGCUGAGGCGCGACAGCGUGGGGAGCAAACAGG